CAACUAUUCACACACACGGAUCUCUUGGCUCUCGCAUCGAUGA
rnacentral:rRNA from 1 species